AACCCAUGGUUGGGACAUUUCUUCAGCAACACCUGGAAACAUUCCCAUGCCUCAUAAAAGGCUUCCUCUACACCUUGUCUGAAUGUAGAAAUUUCAAACUUUGCAU
rfam:Lupinus angustifolius cultivar Tanjil chromosome LG14, whole genome shotgun sequence.